CGGGGCGUGGCUCAGCCUGGUAGAGCGCUGCGUUCGGGACGCAGAGGUCGCAAGUUCAAAUCUUGUCGCCCCGAC
rnacentral:tRNA from 2 species